CAGUAGCCACGGGAAUACGAAGGGUGCAAGCGUUAAUCGGAAUUACUGGGCGUAAAGCGUGCGUAGGCGGUUUGUUAAGUCUGCUGUGAAAGCCCCGGGCUCAACCUGGGAAUGGCAAUGGAUACUGGCGAGCUAGAGUGUGUCAGAGGAUGGUGGAAUUCCCGGUGUAGCGGUGAAAUGUGUAGAGAUCGGGAGGAACAUCAGUGGCGAAGGCGGCUCACUGGCCCGAUUCUGACGCUGAGGCACGAAAGCGUGGGGAGCAAACAGGAUUAGAGACCCCCGUAGUCCCUGUCUCUUAUAC
rnacentral:rRNA from 1 species